GUUAUCUUUGCAGACGCCCCACCACAGAGAUAAGAAGGGUACAGAUGAAGGACAACCUUGUCUGCCGGUCAGCUCUCAGGACCUUCACUGCUGCCUCUUAUUCUGGGCUGGUCCUUCUGGGGUGGUCGUUCUGACUCAGACCUUCCGUCCAGGCCUUAUUCUGAGCCAGGUGUAUAACAGCCAGCUGAUCGGAUCAAUGACCUGGGGGAAAGGCCGAGGUCUUGGAAUUGAAUGUGGUGCUUUUCACAGACUUUAGAACAGAAAACAUCAUCCACUGCCUGAGGCUGCAGAAGUGAAGGACCUCGUCCAGAGCUGGCAGGUCGGCCUGGGACUGGGGCUCAGUGUGGGGGAGGGAACCCCAGGAAAAGACCUCGUCUGCCUGGACCCUCUCGGAGAUGAGUGUAACUCCUUGUCCCAGAGUCUCCUGUCCUCCCCCAAUUCUCCAAAGGCCCUGGGUGGGGGGCAGUGUGACCGGAAGUCUGGCCCUCACCUUCAGGGCUUGGGUGGCAGCUGGUGACAGUGCCUCUUCCACGAAGCCUUCCCUCAGUGUCUCAGACCAAUUCCGUCUCUUCUUUCUCUGUUGGUUUGUGGCUUUGGAGCUGCCUCAGUACAACACAGAAGAUACUCUACAGCCUUCCAACUCAUCGAAGUGUUUCACAAAAUGCGCUCUUAGGAUCCCAGUCAGAAUCCUCUGGGAGCUGCUAAAAGCUCAGACCACCUGAGUCAUCCGCUGGUGACGGAGCCUGGGAACCUGCAUCUCAUACACGCGUAGUGGCGCUGGGAGCCCACUCCUCAGAGCGGGGCUCCCGCAGGGCCCUCGGUGUCCCCCAGCGCGCUCAGCACCGCGAUGCACAGCAGACACGGUGUUCGGUGAAUUCAGUGCACAGAUGUAUUUCUUAGGAAGGAAAUGAGAGGGGGGAAGUGGAAAAAUAGGGUUAUGGGUGUGGAAUAACUACAGAGGGUGUAAUUUGAGAGCUGUUGUAGGAGAGUAAAUAAAAUGGGAACUCUCAGGGCUGAUUCGGGGCCCACUGUUGAGAUCUCCGGAGUGCUGCCAUAGAAAUUCAGUCAACACCUCUUCCCCUCCUUUUUUUCUUCAGACACAUACUUUAGUCACAGGAAAUUUUUUUUUGAAACCUGAACUUUCUAUGCCAGAAUGAGAAAUUGUGUACAAAGUGGGUCACGAGGAAGUGAUAACUAAUGCACAGACUAUUUUAACUGCUGAAUCAGAAAUCCCUACAUUAUGAAAUAUGCAGGAAGGAAAAUAAGCAGAUGAUAAGAGUGGAAGGAAUCCUAAAAUAAUAUUUUCACAAACAAUUCUGGCCCAACAUAUGUCUGGGGUGGGGGUGGAGGAACAGAAUAAAAUUGCUGAGCCGGAAAUUUUUCCAAAUGACGUAGGACCUCCCGAGGCACGUGACCACUCAAACCCUCAGCCCCAAAGGCAGCGUCUUGGGGUCAUCUCAGUCACUCUGCUUCUUGGCGCAGGCAGGCAGGGCUUGAAGAAAGCAAGGACGAGAAGAAGCAAAACCCGCGUACAAAAUUUAAAAUCUGGUUCCCACCAUUUGGGUUUAAUUUCUCUCAGAGAUAUUUUUUAUUGUGGCAAAGUAUACACAACACAGAAAUUACCGUUUUAACCAUGUGUAAAUGUAAAGCUCAGUGGCCAGUCAGUGCAUUCACAAUGCUGUGCAACUGUCCUCACGAUCUAUUUCUAGAACUUUUCAUCAUCCUAACAGUAACUGUAUACCCAAUAAGCAACAGCUUCCCAUCCCCCAUCCUGUAGUCCCUGGUACCCAUCAUGCUCCUUUCUGUCUCUGCACAUUUGCCUAUUCUGGGUACCUCGUGUAAAUGGAAUCAUAUAAUAUUUACCCUUUUGCGUCUGCUUAUUUCACUUAGCCUGAUGUUUUCAAGGUCCCUCCAUGUUGUAGCCUGUACACCAGAAUUCCACUCCUCUUUAGGACUAACAUUCCACUGCGUGUACCCGCAUUUUAUUCCAGUUCUUCACGUCUCAGGCGUGUGUAUCCCUGGACCACCCCCACCCACCGCCCUGCUCAGGCAUACACGGGGCCAGACUCUGUCGGUAAAUAUAUUAUUUUCAGAUUGCUCCCACUCCAAUCCCCUGCUUAUUUUCCUUUUAUAAUGUAGACAGAGAUCUUUGGUUCAGCUGUAAGUCUGUGGUAACACCAAGUUUUGUUGAUCCCUUCAUGUGCCCAUGGAGAGUGGGGGGUCUCCACCGCCAGCUAUUGUGAACAAUGCUGUCAACAUGGGUGUGCAAUCCCCAUCUGCAGUUCUUCUGAGUAUGUACUAAGGAGCAGAGUUACUGAACUACAUGGUGAUUUUAUGUUGAACUCCCAAGGAACCACAAGUUGUUUUUCCCUAGUGGCACUCUAUUUUACAUUCCUACCAAUGGCCCAGAAGAGCUCCAGUUUCUCCACAUUCUUGCCAGUAUUUGCUCUUUUUCUAUUUCUUAAUAAAAUAAUAGCCAUCUUAAUGGGUGUGAAAUGGUAUCUCUUUGUGGUUUGGAUAGAGGUUUAAACAGAAAUCAUA